UUGAACGCUGGCGGCAUGCUUUACACAUGCAAGUCGAACGGCAGCGGGGGCUUCGGCCUGCCGGCGAGUGGCGAACGGGUGAGUAAUGCAUCGGAACGUACCCAGUCGUGGGGGAUAACUACGCGAAAGCGUAGCUAAUACCGCAUACGCCCUGAGGGGGAAAGCGGGGGACCUUCGGGCCUCGCGCGCUUGGAGCGGCUGAUGUCGGAUUAGCUAGUUGGUGGGGUAAAGGCCUACCAAGGCGACGAUCCGUAGCUGGUCUGAGAGGAUGAUCAGCCACACUGGGACUGAGACACGGCCCAGACUCCUACGGGAGGCAGCAGUGGGAAUUUUGGACAAUGGGCGCAAGCCUGAUCCAGCCAUGCCGCGUGAGUGAAGAAGGCCUUCGGGUUGUAAAGCUCUUUUAGAGAGGAUGAGGAAGGACGGUACUCUCUGAAUAAGUCUCGGCUAACUACGU
rnacentral:rRNA from 1 species